AGGAGGAACAGCCCCAGUGGCGGGGCCAGCUCUGGAGCCCUGAUUCAGCUCUGCAAGUAGGUCCGGAGCUCUCGCUCUGCAGGCCUGGAGGCUCCGGGCGGGG
rnacentral:pre_miRNA from 1 species